UCUCCUGCCUCAGCCUCCCGUGUAGCUGGGAUUACAGGCGAGAGCCACCUGGCCCAGCGCCCAAGUUCUAGUCUUGAUUCUACCACUUACUAGAUGUGUGAUUUUCAGCAAAUCACUCAGUCUCUUGGAACGUUGGUUUCCUCAUCCAUUGGCGCUCCCCUUCCUCUUUGCAGGCUUGCUUUCGUUGCCUGGCAACGGGACGCGACGCCGGGACUGAGCGUAAGUGCGUGCUUUGACCGAGGCGGUUUUGACCGUUGGGCCUUGUCAGUUGCUUAGACUCACCUGGGUCCUCCAGUCAGUGCCCGGCUCCUCCUCCUCCACCUCCGCCUCCUCCUGGGUGGAGAGUGGGGCGGCACCUGCGGGGCAGGGGAGCCCAUUCCACAAACCCGGGUAGGAAAACGAAGGUGGAGCGUUGCCAGAUACAAUACAGUACCGCAUGCGCAGUCAACUUUGAAUUUCAGAUAAACGAAUUACUUUUGAGUACACACAUAGUAUCAUACAAAGUUAUUCGUUGAUUAUCUGAAAUUCAGAGUUACCUGGGAGUGCUGUGUUUCUUUGCUGAGUCUGGCACCCUGGCCCGGGCCGCCUCCCUCUCCACUCUGGCUGGGUCUCCCAGGUGUGGGAAAGGGAACUCCUUCUAUCUCCUGUGGCAACUUCUUCAGGCUGAAAGCACCUGUUUCUGUGGAAAUGGGCUUUCUUAUGGUGCUGAGCGAGAUGACAAACCUUGCCCGCGUCCACCGAUAUGUCCACAAUUCCCAGAUAGAUCCUCGACUUGGGCCGACCCUUAGGCUGGAAGCCUCUUAGGGCAAAUUUUUAUUUCUAUAAUCUAUGCCUUUUAAAAUUAAUAAAAUGUCAUUUAAUGUC